UUCCCUCGACUAUAGUGCCCUAGUCCUGAUUAUUGAUCCUAGAACUGAAGGUUCACUGACCGUAGCUGGAGAAAGAAUGGAGAAGCUAGUGGGAGCCUUAUUCAUGAUCUUAUGUCUUCAAUGGAGCUGGGUAAGCAGCCAACAAACGGUGGAGCAGAGUCCUCAGUCCUUGAAGGUCCAGGAGGGAGACAGCGCUGCUCUCAACUGCAGUUACUCAGACAGUGCUUCCUGGGGGCUUCAGUGGUUCAAGCAGGAUCUUGAGAAAGACCUCACCUCCCUAUUUUUCAUGACUUCUGAGGAGAAGGAGACAGGAAGGUUAAGAUCCACAAUCAACAGAAAGGAGCGUCUCAGCACCCUGUACAUCACAGCCUCCCAGCCUGGAGACUCGGGCACCUACCUCUGUGGUGUGGAGGCACAGUGA